AUCAGUAAAAUAAAAUUUUUUGUUAUGUUUCAAAUAUUCAAUAAGAAAUUGUGAUGAAAAGACCAACUUCAUUUGACUCCCAAAGAAAUUCUUAGGAAAUUAAUAAUUGGAACAACAACAAUUUUCCAAAAAUGUAUAAACUUGUCGAAUGACCCCAAACUUUGGGAGCAUCUUCAAAGUGGUGCACCAUAUUUAUUUGCAAAGUUACAUUCUUAACUAAAUUCAAUUGCUAACUGAACUAAAGACAAAACAGUAGCAAAAAGGUAAAACAGAUAGGAAAAACUGAAAAAAUAAAAGAGGCCUAAACCUACUAGGCACCUUGGCUCAUUAAACCAAACGGCCCAGUCCACCAUCCCCACCUUCUUCUUCUUCCUACUGCUCAUCAGGGGCUGCGUGGUGGACGUGUGCCCGACCACAUCGCAGAUCGGCUACGUGCUGUCAAUCCGCCGCAUCCCCGGCAUCUACAAGGCUGCCCCGACCCCCUGUCCAUGAGCCAGAGGAUCCCGAGGAUGAUUCUACAUGGAGUUCGGCUCUAAUGAGUAGUUAGGAGGUCCCAGGCAGGAGGCCUCACCUUUUCGAUCGUUGCUACUUUUGUGCUAGCCUUCUGAAGGCAAACUUGUUUAACUUAUGUCUAUUUUCAGACAUUGAUGCUUUCGUUGACUCGUUUGUUUUCGAGCUGAUGUAUUCGAGCCCUAGAGGCCCCUGACUUGUAAUAUAAAGCUUGUAUUAUUUUAA